ACGCACGCUGGCGGUGUGCUUCACACAUGCAAGUCGAACGGUAAGGCCCUUUCGGGGGUACACGAGUGGCGAACGGGUGAGUAACACGUGAGUAACCUGCCCUCAUCUCUGGGAUAACAGUCGGAAACGGUUGCUAAUACUGGAUAUGAGCUUGCAAGGCAUCUUGUGGGUUGGAAAGAUUUUUUUGGUUGGGGAUGGACUCGCGGCCUAUCAGCUUGUUGGUGAGGUAGUGGCUCACCAAGGCUUCGACGGGUAGCCGGCCUGAGAGGGCGACCGGCCACAUUGGGACUGAGAUACGGCCCAAACUCCUACGGGAGGCAGCAGUGGGGAAUAUUGCACAAUGGACGGAAGUCUGAUGCAGCAACGCCGCGUGCGGGAUGACGGCCUUCGGGUUGUAAACCGCUUUCAAUUGUGACGAAGCUUUUUGUGACGGUAGCAGUAGAAGAAGCACCGGCUAACUACGUG
rnacentral:rRNA from 1 species